ACGAAUCAGCUCAGUGGAUCCCUUGGCUUGUG
rnacentral:rRNA from 1 species